GAAGGGGGCUAGCGUUGUUCGGAAUUACUGGGCGUAAAGGGCGCGUAGGCGGCCUUGUUAGUCGAGUGUGAAAGCCCUGGGCUUAACCCGGGAAGCGCGCUUGAUACUGCAGGGCUUGAGUGUGGGAGAGGAUGGUGGAAUUCCCAGUGUAGAGGUGAAAUUCGUAGAUAUUGGGAAGAACACCGGUGGCGAAGGCGACCAUCUGGACCACAACUGACGCUGAGGCGCGAAAGCGUGGGGAGCAAACAGGAUUAGAUACCCUGGUAGUCCACGCCGUAAACGAUGUGCGCUAGACGCUGGAGGACCUAGUCUUCCGGUGUCGCAGCUAACGCUUUAAGCGCACCGCCUGGGGAGUACGGCCGCAAGGUUAAA
rnacentral:rRNA from 1 species